rnacentral:rRNA from 1 species
AUGAACGCUGGCUACAGGCUUAACACAUGCAAGUCGCGGGGAAACGACGGGGAAGCUUGCUUCCCCGGGCGUCGACCGGCGCACGGGUGAGUAACGCGUAUCCAACCUGCCUCUGACUGAGGGAUAACCCGUCGAAAGUCGGCCUAAUACCUCAUGGCAUCGUCUGCGGGCAUCCAACGACGAUUAAAGAUUUCAUCGGUCAGGGAUGGGGAUGCGUCUGAUUAGCUUGUUGGCGGGGUAACGGCCCACCAAGGCUACGAUCAGUAGGGGUUCUGAGAGGAAGGUCCCCCACAUUGGAACUGAGACACGGUCCAAACUCCUACGGGAGGCAGCAGUGAGGAAUAUUGGUCAAUGGGCGGGAGCCUGAACCAGCCAAGUAGCGUGCAGGAUGACGGCCCUAUGGGUUGUAAACUGCUUUUAGGCGGGGAUAAAGUGAGGGACGUGUCCUUCAUUGCAGGUACCGCAUGAAUAAGGACCGGCUAAUUCCGUG